UAGGUGUGUGUUCCAGGUAAAUCCGGUUCACUUUAACACUGAGGCGUGACGACGAGGCACUACGGUGCUGAAGCAACAAAUGCCCUGCUUCCAGGAAAAGCCUCUAAGCAUCAGGUAACACGAAAUCGUACCCCAAACCGACACAGGUGGUCAGGUAGAGAAUACCAAGGCGCUUGAGAGAACUCGGGUGAAGGAACUAGGCAAAAUGGUGCCGUAACUUCGGGAGAAGGCACGCUGACACGUAGGUGAAGUGAUUUACUCAUGGAGCUGAAGUCAGUCGAAGAUACCAGCUGGCUGCAACUGUUUAUUAAAAACACAGCACUGUGCAAACACGAAAGUGGACGUAUACGGUGUGACGCCUGCCCGGUGCCGGAAGGUUAAUUGAUGGGGUCAGCGCAAGCGAAGCUCCUGAUCGAAGCCCCGGUAAACGGCGGCCGUAACUAUAACGGUCCUAAGGUAGCGAAAUUCCUUGUCGGGUAAGUUCCGACCUGCACGAAUGGCGUAAUGAUGGCCAGGCUGUCUCCACCCGAGACUCAGUGAAAUUGAACUCGCUGUGAAGAUGCAGUGUACCCGCGGCAAGACGGAAAGACCCCGUGAACCUUUACUAUAGCUUGACACUGAACAUUGAGCCUUGAUGUGUAGGAUAGGUGGGAGGCUUUGAAGUGUGGACGCCAGUCUGCAUGGAGCCGACCUUGAAAUACCACCCUUUAAUGUUUGAUGUUCUAACGUGGACCCGUAAUCCGGGUUGCGGACAGUGUCUGGUGGGUAGUUUGACUGGGGCGGUCUCCUCCUAAAGAGUAACGGAGGAGCACGAAGGUUGGCUAAUCCUGGUCGGACAUCAGGAGGUUAGUGCAAUGGCAUAAGCCAGCUUGACUGCGAGCGUGACGGCGCGAGCAGGUGCGAAAGCAGGUCAUAGUGAUCCGGUGGUUCUGAAUGGAAGGGCCAUCGCUCAACGGAUAAAAGGUACUCCGGGGAUAACAGGCUGAUACCGCCCAAGAGUUCAUAUCGACGGCGGUGUUUGGCACCUCGAUGUCGGCUCAUCACAUCCUGGGGCUGAAGUAGGUCCCAAGGGUAUGGCUGUUCGCCAUUUAAAGUGGUACGCGAGCUGGGUUUAGAACGUCGUGAGACAGUUCGGUCCCUAUCUGCCGUGGGCGCUGGAGAACUGAGGGGGGCUGCUCCUAGUACGAGAGGACCGGAGUGGACGCAUCACUGGUGUUCGGGUUGUCAUGCCAAUGGCACUGCCCGGUAGCUAAAUGCGGAAGAGAUAAGUGCUGAAAGCAUCUAAGCACGAAACUUGCCCCGAGAUGAGUUCUCCCUGAGACUUAG
rnacentral:rRNA from 1 species